rnacentral:rRNA from 1 species
GACGAACGCUGGCGGCGUGCUUAACACAUGCAAGUCGAACGGAAAGGCCCUGCUUGCAGGGUACUCGAGUGGCGAACGGGUGAGUAACUGGUGGGUGAUCUGCCCUGCACUUCGGCAUAAGCCUGGGAAACGGGGUCUAAUACCGGAUAGGAGCCAUUUUUAGCGUGAUGGUUGGAAAGUUUUUUCGGUGUUGGAUGAGCUGGCGGCCUAAUGGCUUGUUGGUGGGGUAAUGGCCUACCAAGGCGGCGACGGGUAGCCGGCCUGUGAGGGUGGACGGCCGCAUUGGGUCUGAGAUGCGGCCCAGACUCGGACGGGUGGCAACAGUGGGGAAGCCUGAACAAUGGGCGCAGGGCUGGUGCAGCGGGGCCGCGUGGGGGAUGACGGCCUUCUGGUUGAAGAAAACUUUCGCUAGGGACGAAGCUUGUUGUGACGGUACCUAGAUAAGAAGCACCGGCUAACUACGUG